ensembl:miRNA mdo-mir-12319 mdo-mir-12319
UGGGAAGAGGAAGAGCUAGAACUAACCUGCCUUGAACUUGAAUGAUUCUGGCUUCUGCUUUCCUCCCAGUG